UCCAACACCGGGGUGUUCAGAGUUCUUUCGCGUUGAACUCCUUUCUGCAACUGUUUUUUUGUUAUAAGAAAUUGCUAAGAUAUUGCGUUUUCCAUUUAUGUAUUUGGGGUAUAAUGUUUUUGCUUAUUUUCUUUUGUUGACAACUAGGCAGAUAUGGCAAUACCAUUUAUUAGUAUGCAACCCUAUUCUUGUUGUGAAAAUGCUGUUAAUUUAACUAAAAUUAAGUAAUUAAAAUAAAGCUUUAUUUGCAAUAAAUAUUAAAGAAAUUUAUAUACAAAAACGUUAUAGUGAUGUGUUAUAGUCAAUUUCAGAUCCUUUUAUAAGCCCCAUUCCGUUUCUCGGACUCAGAAACUUAGCUGCAGACAAAGUCUUCGUCAACAUAUUGGCAAGCUGAUUCUCUGUGUAACUAUAUUUCGUGAUUAUUAUAGUAUAUUUACAUAUAACGGGAUUAUCUCCAUUAACGAGAUUAACUCGAUAAUCCGUAAUUAAGAAACGAGAUUUACCAUACAAAAUUCCUCUCUAGUUAAUCUGAGAUUAAAAGUUAAAAGUUAAUCUCAGAUUACACAACUAGAUUAGCGAUGUUAUUCCUAACUUUAUCGAUAAUUUUUUCGAAAAAGAUGAGAAAUGUCAAAUGACAAAGCAAACAAAAAUGGCCGACAGCGAGGGAAAGAGAGAUGAUAGGAAAUCUAUGGGUUCCUCUGGCGGCAGCCCUUCGAUAUGGGAAUUCUACCCUAGAAUAAAUAGUAACCUCUGGAGCUAUAAAAGCUUUAAUUUGCCAACAUUUGUGGAGGAGAGCACAGUUCACGAAGUUGUAGACUGUGCAUCACCCCUUAACAGCUCUUCCAUUACGCUGGAUUCCCAGGAAGAAUUGCUGUUUGUAGACGAGGAACCUGCAAGGGAAAGAAAAAAGCAUACCUCAAAUAAUAUUCACAAUGAAUUUUUGGAGGAAUUCCGGGAUUCAAAUAGAAAAAUUAAGGCGGAAAUUGAAGCAAUUAAAGAUAAAGAAAGCCAUUCUCGAAAAAUUCUUAGCAUUUAAGCAAAGCAAUUACGUUUUACACCACGAAGCAUAUAUCUAGCCCAGGAGAAGAUUUUUUUAUUUUAUAUUGUUAUUUUUUGUAAAAUAGCUGGUUCACAGCAUAGUGCUUUUCAACUCAUGUGGUAAGUCUUUUGUUCAUUUUUCUUGUGAGAUUUGGGCAAGAAUAACCUCACAAUUCAGUUGCUGAACACAUAGAGAGUGACAGACUUCAAGCGACAUCUGUUAAAUAUUACACGUUCUUAUGGACACCGUUCUUUAGACAGCUGCAAGACUGAAAAGUUUCAACAAAAAGUAGUGGAACUAAUGGAGAAGAAUCCAGAAGUUGGAAAAGUAAAGCCACAGUUUGGAAGCAAUAAAUUCAAAAACCAAAUUGUUGGAAAGUGUGGCAUUGCAGUUGAAUUGUUUAUGGCCACCAAGCUGAACUGUCUACGAAUGGGGACGAUGUGGAUUCGCUAUAAAGCAAAUUAAAAAAAUCUUGCUAAUAAUAGGAACAACUUGUGACUGGUGGUACACCUCUAGAGCAGUCGCUAAGCCCAAUGGAGGAGAGUGUGGCCCGGCUUAUUCAGAUAAGGGAGGCAGUUGCACCAAGAGGGCAAGCAUUAGGUGUCGAGUAUGUAUCACCUAUUUUCGCCGAUGUGACCCUUGAAGACUCACCUUUUUCUUCUCCACAUAUGCAAGAUCGCUCGACUCCUUCCAAAAGAGUUCAGUUGAGGAGGGCAAACUAUUGCAUGGAAUCGCAAAGGAAUUUUAAACAAAAUUAGACAGUUGGAGAAAACUUUGCCUAAUUAAUAUACUCUCCAAAAAGAAGCUUUGGAAUUAAAAAAAGAUCUAUGGAAGAAAGGCUAACGAGGCGCAUGAACUCUCUCUUUUUGUAACAUAGUUCAAGUUUAUUUUGAAAACAUGAAGUGAUAUUGUUAUUUCAAGAAUUUAUUUAAAUAAAAUUUAAAAAAAUAUAUAA
rnacentral:misc_RNA from 1 species